GACGACCGCUGGCGGCGCGCCUAACACAUGCAAGUCGAACGGAGUUUACAGACGGAAGUUUUCGGAUGGAAGGCUGUAAGCUCAGAGGCGGACGGGUGAGUAACACGUGAGCAAGCUGCCUAUCAGAGGGGGAUAACGAUGGGAAACGAUCGCUAAUACCGCAUGACAUGGCGGAAUCGCGAGGAUCUGUUAUCAAAGAUUUUAUCGCUGAUAGAUAGGCUCGGGUCCGAUUAGAUAGUUGGUAGGGUAAUGGUCUACCAAGUCGACGAUCGGUAGCCGGACUGAGGGGUCGAACGGCCACAUUGGGACUAAGACACGGCCCAGACUCCUACGGGAGGCAGCAGUGGGGGAUAUUGCACAAUGGGGGAAACCCUGAUGCAGCGACGCCGCGUGAGGGAAGACGGUCCUCUGGAUUGUAAACCUCUGUCUUCGGGGACGAAACGAGACGGUACCCGAGGAGGAAGCCACGGCUAACUACGUGCCAGCCGCCGCCGUAA
rnacentral:rRNA from 1 species